CAGUAAAUAGUUUAUUAAAAUAUUAAUUUUGGAGAUUAAAGAUAGGCUUAGCUUUUUACUGA
rnacentral:tRNA from 1 species